rnacentral:rRNA from 1 species
GAGUUUGAUCGUGGCUCAGGAUGAACGCUAGCUACAGGCUUAACACAUGCAAGUCGAACGAAGCACCUUGACUGAGACCUUCGGGUGGAUUUUAAGGUGACUGAGUGGCGGACGGGUGAGUAACGCGUGGGUAACCUGCCUUACAGAGGGGGAUAACAGUUGGAAACGGCUGCUAAUACCGCAUAAGCGCACGGGAUCGCAUGAUCCAGUGUGAAAAAACUCAGGUGCUGUAAGAUGGACCCCGCGUUGGAUUAGUUAGUUGGCAGGGUAACGGCCUACCAAGGCGACGAUCCAUAGCCGGCCUGAGAGGGUGACCGGCCACAUUGGGACUGAGACACGGCCCAAACUCCUACGGGAGCAGCAGU